rnacentral:rRNA from 1 species
GACGAACGCUGGCGGCGUGCUUAACACAUGCAAGUCGAACGGUGAAGGGACCAGCUUGCUGGUUCUGGAUGAGUGGCGAACGGGUGAGUAACACGUGAGUAACCUGCCCCCUUCUUCUGGAUAACCGCAUGAAAGUGUGGCUAAUACGGGAUAUUCUGGGUCUGUCGCAUGGCGGGCCCGGGAAAGAUAUUGCUUCGGUGGGGGAUGGGCUCGCGGCCUAUCAGCUUGUUGGUGGGGUGAUGGCCUACCAAGGCGGUGACGGGUAGCCGGCCUGAGAGGGUGGACGGUCACACUGGGACUGAGACACGGCCCAGACUCCUACGGGAGGCAGCAGUGGGGAAUAUUGCACAAUGGGCGCAAGCCUGAUGCAGCGACGCCGCGUGAGGGAGGGAGGCCUUCGGGGUGUAAACCUCUUUCGCCAGUGAAGCAGGCCUGCUCCUUGUGGGUGGGUUGACGGUAGCUGGAUAAGAAGCGCCGGCUAACUACGUG